GGAGAGAUGGCUGAGUGGUCGAAAGCGGCCGCCUGCUAAGCGGUUGUAGGGGUGUUAAGCCCUUACCCCGGGUUCGAAUCCCGGUCUCUCCG
rnacentral:tRNA from 1 species